rnacentral:ncRNA from 3 species
CACCGCCCGUCACACUAUAGGAGCUGGCCAUGUUUGAAGUCAUUACCCUUAACCGUAUGGAGGGGGAUGCCUAAGGCUAGGCUUGCGACUGGAGUGAAGUCGUAACAAGGUAGCCAUAAUGGAAGGUGCGGCUA